AUCGUAUAAUAACCUAGUGUCGACUGAAAGUGUAAGGUGAGAAACGUGACGUGCAAGGUUAAACCAUACAUUUAAUCCAUGAGAAUGUCUUGGAAUGGCGGGGCAGGUUAGCUAGCUUGGAAGAGGUGGGCAGUAUCUGGCUGAAAGCCUGAAACAAAACCCAUGGAAGUGGUCAGCUGAGAUGUUUGUGAAACACAGGCACGUGAAUACAUGUGAUAAGAUUAGCAAGCGGCUACCCAUGUGAGUUUCCUCAACAGUCGCCUGAUGACCAGACAUAAAGAUCGGCCUAUGUGCACAAUGGCUAGGUGUAUGUGAAUAAUAUCCGACCGAGUGACCG